rnacentral:rRNA from 1 species
UUCUGGCUCAGGAUGAACGCUAGCUACAGGCUUAACACAUGCAAGUCGAGGGGCAGCAUGAUCGAAGCUUGUUUGAUUGAUGGCGACCGGCGCACGGGUGAGUAACGCGUAUCCAACCUUCCCUAUAGUAGAGAAUAGCCCGGCGAAAGUCGGAUUAAUGCUCUAUGUUGUAUUUAGAGGACAUCUGAAGAAUACCAAAGGUUUACCGCUAUAGGAUGGGGAUGCGUCUGAUUAGGUAGUAGGCGGGGUAACGGCCCACCUAGCCGACGAUCAGUAGGGGUUCUGAGAGGAAGGUCCCCCACAUUGGAACUGAGACACGGUCCAAACUCCUACGGGAGGCAGCAGUGAGGAAUAUUGGUCAAUGGACGGAAGUCUGAACCAGCCAAGUUAAGCGUGCAGGAUGACGGCCCUAUGGGUUGUAAACUGCUUUUAUAUAGGGAUAAAGUCGGGGACGUGUCCCCGUUUGUAGGUACUAUAUGAAUAAGGACCGGCUAAUUCCGUGCCAGCCGCUGC